rnacentral:rRNA from 1 species
GACGUAGGUGGCGAACGUUAUCCGGAAUUAUUGGGCGUAAAGGGUUCGUAGGUGGUCUCAUUUGUCUGGGGUGAAAGCCUUGAGCUUAACUCAAGAAGUGCCCCAGAAACGGUGAGACUGGAGUCCUGGAGAGGGUCGUGGAAUUCCCGGUGUAGCGGUGAAAUGCGUAGAGAUCGGGAGGAACACCAGAGGCGAAAGCGGCGACCUGGACAGGCACUGACACUCAGCUACGAAAGCGUGGGGAGCAAACAGG